AGUGAACGCUGGCGGUAGGCCUAACACAUGCAAGUCGAACGGCAGCACAGUAAGAGCUUGCUCUUACGGGUGGCGAGUGGCGGACGGGUGAGGAAUACAUCGGAAUCUACUUUUUCGUGGGGGAUAACGUAGGGAAACUUACGCUAAUACCGCAUACGACCUACGGGUGAAAGCAGGGGAUCUUCGGACCUUGCGCGAUUGAAUGAGCCGAUGUCGGAUUAGCUAGUUGGCGGGGUAAAGGCCCACCAAGGCGACGAUCCGUAGCUGGUCUGAGAGGAUGAUCAGCCACACUGGAGCUGAGACACGGUCCAGACUCCUACGGGAGGCAGCAGUGGGGAAUAUUGGACAAUGGGCGCAGGCCUGAUCCAGCCAUACCGCGUGGGUGAAGAAGGCCUUCGGGUUGUAAAGCCCUUUUGUUGGGAAAGAAAAGCAGCAGGUUAAUACCCCGCUGUUCUGACGGUACCCAAAGAAUAAGCACCGGCUAACUUCGUG
rnacentral:rRNA from 1 species